rnacentral:rRNA from 1 species
CUGGAUUACAACUGACGCUGAGGCGCGAAAGUGUGGGGAGCAAACAGGAUUAGAUACCCUGGUAGUCCACACGGUAAACGAUGAAUGCUAGGUGUAGGGGGUAUCGACCCCUUCUGUGCCGGAGUAAACACAAUAAGCAUUCCGCCUGGGGAGUACGGCCGCAAGGUUAAAACUCAAAGGAAUUGACGGGGGCCCGCACAAGCAGCGGAGCAUGUGGUUUAAUUCGACGCAACGCGAAGAACCUUACCAGGUCUUGACAUCCAGUAAAAUCUGUGGAAACGCAGUGUGCCUUCGGGCGUACUGAGACAGGUGGUGCAUGGUUGUCGUCAGCUCGUGUCGUGAGAUGUUGGGUUAAGUCCCGCAACGAGCGCAACCCUUGUUGAUAGUUACUAACGCGUAGAGGCGAGGACUCUAUCAAGACUGCCGGGGACAACUCGGAGGAAGGUGGGGAUGACGUCAAAUCAUCAUGCCCCUUAUGACCUGGGCUACACACGUGCUACAAUGGCCGAUACAGAGAGGAGCAAACCCGCAAGGGGGAGCGGAUCUCAAAAAAGCGGUCACAGUUCGGAUUGUGGGCUGCAACCCGCCCACAUGAAGUAGGAGUUGCUAGUAAUCGCGGAUCAGCAUGCCGCGG